rnacentral:lncRNA from 12 species
CUUCAAAUAACCAUCCCAGCAUGCUUUCAGGGAACUGGAACAUGAGAAAUAUACCUCAAUAUAACAUUAAAAGAAAUCCCCAAAAUGACACAAAAUUUGUCAUUUCAGAGAAGAGGAACCACUUCUAAUUUCAUGAGCCUUUUGGAGUACUAUUCCAUUUACUUCCAGCUCUUCCAACUCAAGAAGACCUGCCCAAGCCAGAAAAUGAAAUUCAAGCUCAGUCAUGUCUGCUGCAGGGGAUCUAUUAAUAUCCCGCCAAUUGUUUCCACAGGUUUGCUAUGA